UCCGGGGAUUGGCGCGGCGCCGACCUUUGCUUUGCCCGCAGGCUGCGGUGACCUUCGUAGGAUGCUCCCCCCGGUGUCCCGGCCGGCAGCUUUCGUCCUGGACCUUUCCCCGGGCCCGUUAGGACAUUGUGUGUACAGCUCCCUGGCAGGGGAACGCCUGUUUAGAAUACACGCGCCCUGUGCCCUUCAGGCCCUGGACGCCCCUCCCUGAGCUCUAGCGGCUCAGAAGAUAAAGUAACAGUCCACUUUGUAAACCGUGACGGUGAGACGUUAACAGCCAAAGGAAAAGUUGGUGACUCUCUACUAGAUGUUGUGAUUGAAAACAAUCUAGAUAUUGAUGGCUUUGGUGCGUGUGAGGGAACCUUGGCUUGCUCUACCUGUCACCUCAUCUUUGAAGAGCACAUAUUUGAGAAGUUAGAAGCAAUCACUGAUGAGGAGAAUGACAUGCUCGAUCUGGCGUAUGGACUAACAGAUAGAUCUCGAUUGGGCUGCCAAGUCUGCUUGACAAAGGCUAUGGACAACAUGACGGUUCGGGUACCUGAUGUUGUGGCUGAUGCCAGACAAUCUGUUGAUGUGGGCAAGAACUCCUAAACUAGAAUAAAUCGGAAUAUUUUCACAAAAUUUUACCUAUUUUUUAUAAUUAUUAUUUCUUAAUGUAAUUACAUGAGAACAUGGGUGAAGGGGUUUAUUAUGAUUAUUAGCUGUACCACUUUAAUCGACCUUACAUUACUACUACAUUUUAUAGAUUUCAAAGUAUGCCAUCUUUAUUUUGGUUAAAUUAUAAAAAGCAAAUCAAAUAUUAGAAAAUAGUUACUAUUCUAGAAUCAUACAUAUUAUACCUUAUGUUUGCUAGCAAGAUGUUUUCACAUAAGUCUUAUGUCUAAUUACCUGUAAGUUAGGUUAAUAAAAGGUAUUAUUUUCCCUGUCAGAUGUGGGUGAAGGCAGAGAUCUAACAUGGCUUGUCUGGAGCAAUAGAGCAAAUUAGAAGAUAAUGUACUAGAACUCGAAUCUUCUUAUUACAAGUUAUAUGUUCAAAUUGAAACUAGAGAAAUUAUGAAUAUCUUAUUUAUAGCAAUAAUUAAAUGGACAUAACUAAUUGCUCAAAUUUCAAAGAUUAUUGUUGCCUUCUAAAUAAAUAUUUCAGAGUUUUGAUUCACUGAAAACUCUCUGGGCUUCCUCACAGCAUGGUGGCUGGUUUCUGCAAGCCAGCACCGUGAGAGGGAGGCCUGUGCCAGGCGUGCCCUAGGUAUAAAAGUCACACAGCAUCAUUUCUGCCUGUUCUUUUCAUUAGGAGUGAGGUACUGAGUCUGGCCCAUCACCUGAAGAGGGUGUCCGGGAACUUGCAGACAUGAUUUAAAACCACCACAGUAACCAUUAUUUUCAAGUUAGCUUAUUGGCACAUUAUUGCCUGAGAAAACCAGCCUUUUAACUAAAGUGUUCUAAACUUUUCAAGAAGGGCUGGAUUUUGCUCUUACAUUGAAUUUUGAAAGAUUCUGUGUCUUCUUUAUUAUGAUGGUUCAUUGGUUUUAUUCUGUAACUCCCAACAGUUUUCUUCCUGACAGUUGUUUAAAAUGAGAGGGAAUAAUGGUAGGUUCCCUUUCAAUGCUGUAUAAUUUUAGUUUACAUUUCUCUGCAUUUUGCCAUCAAGAAAGGCAGCUUCCUUUGGUGUAAUAGUAUAUAUAAUUGUUGGUUACAUGCUAACAUUUAAUAUUGUAUUUGGUUUUCACAAAUAAAACCAACCUGUAAUUACGUAAGUAAUUCAGAACUGCUGAAUUAGUUUUUCAAAUGAACAAUUCUAAGAAUUUUGAAAACCUUUUGCCUAACUUUUGCUGUGAAAAUGUUGUCUAAUUUGUCUUAAAGGACAGUUUUCUUAUUUUCUUCAUAACUAUUUAAGUAUCGUGGUGAUCCAUUUGGCUUCUAUCAUAGUCAUUUAGCAUUUACUAGAAGUUACAUUUCGUUUGAAAAAUUGUUUUCUAAUGGGGAACUUAAAUUCAUUAUAUGUUUUUGCAUCUUUUUCUUCUUUUUCUUUUUACCACUCUUUUAAUUGCUUUUCUUGCUCUUAAACUCCCUGAAAUUUUGUAGUAAACCACAUUUUGGAUCAGAAUUUGUUAGAUGGAUUUCUUAUUUAUAGGUUAACUUAUCACUCUAUAAAUUAAAAAGUAGAAAUAA